AUACCGUGAUGGGGGCACAUUUGCAAUAACUCUUUGUACCUUUCCUACGCCUCAUACAAGGACUCAUCAUCCAUUUUAUGGAAAGCAGUGAUCUCGUUCCUCAACUU
rfam:Gossypium hirsutum cultivar TM-1 chromosome 8, whole genome shotgun sequence